rnacentral:tRNA from 1 species
GGGCCCGUAGCUCAGCGGUUAGAGCGUGCGGCUCAUAACCGCUUGGUCGCGGGUUCGAUUCCCGCCGGGCCCACCA